AUGGACCAAAAGGUGCCAGCCACACUGCUAGAGCUCGCUGCAUGGAGUCUGCUGAGUGAUGAGCCUGCAGCUAUCCAUGCUCUUGAGGAGCUCCCAUGAGACCUCUUUGUUCCAUUGUUCAUCACUGCCUUCUUGGGUGGGCAGAAGAUGAAACUAAAGGCCAUGGUGAGGAUUUGGCCCUCCCGUUGUCUCCAUGUUGGACCGUUGAGUGUAAGGGAGUCACACUAUGAAAUCUUGGGAGCCACGAUUGAUGCCACCUUUCAUAUUCUGUCUCUUCCUCUUCCUGCAGACGGCCAAAACGGAGGGUCCUGGAUUUAAAGCAGGACCCAGACAGCAGAACCACAUGCUCUGAGAUCAGGAGCACAUUCCCAUUUUGUUUUCAGUCUUGCGUUUACUCUCAGCACUCUAUCCUGAAAAUAGAAGAAGCCAAGCGAAGUGUUAGGUGCCUGGAAAUUGUACAUUUAGAGUCUGAGUCUCGGCCCAUCCAGGGAACGCAUGGGAUUGUUAGUGGACAUUUCCCUUGAUGGUACCUUGAGAACAAGGCAACUCUUUUCUUUCCUUUCGAGUAAAGUUGAGCAGAGCCUUGGGUCUUUGCAUCUCUGCUGCAGAGAUUUGCAAAUUCAUCAAGUGUCUGCCCACAAAAGCGUCCUGUAGUUUCUGGAUCUGGGAUGCACUGAUCACCUGGAAGUAGGUCAGGCUUGUUUGAGUGAAGUCAGCACCCUUUUGGCACAGAAGAUCCACCAGGACAGACUUAGUCUAUCUAAAAUCCUUUUAAAAUCCUGUAAGGGGAGAAACUUCUCAACUUUUUUCACUCAUCAUGAGCAGAUGAACAACCUCCAGGAACUCAGCUUGUCUUGCUUCUGCCUCACAGAUCAGCUGCUUUUUUCUCUCUACAGAGCCCUGCCAUCUCAUUUGUACACACUGUAUGUGUCUUUCUGUGGACUUUCUACCAGAGAGACAUCACUGUCCUAUCCCAGAGCUCUGAGGUUACCCACCUAAGACUGUUGAGUCUGAGUAACAAUCAGAUAUCCUGGGAAGUUUCUGAGCCAUUCCAGGCUCUGCUGGAGACGGUCUCAGGGACCCUGCAGCAUCUGGAGAUAGACAACUGCCUGAUAACUGAUUCUACUUUCUCUGUUGUCAUCCCAGCCCUGAGCCACUGUUCCCACCUCUGUGUCCCUAGCUUUGUCUUCAACCCCAUUACAAUGCCUGUGCUCACGAGUCUUCUGCAGCACUUAACAGCGUUGAUGGAGCUGAAGCAUGUGAUUUAUCCUGUCCCUGUCCAUUGCUAUGAACAAUGGCAAUCACAUGGCAGUUUGGACAUACAA
rnacentral:lncRNA from 1 species